GACGAACGCUGGCGGCGUGCCUAAUACAUGCAAGUCGAACGCAGUGGGGACGGGUGAGUAACCCGUGGGUAACCUCCCAUCAGAGGGGAUAACAUUUGGAAACAGGCGCUAAACCGACACUGAUGGAUGGACCCGCGGUGCAUUAGCUAGUUGGUGAGGUAACGGCUCACCAAGUCCAAGAUGCAUAGCCGACCUGAUAGGGUGAACAGCAACACUGGAACUGAGACACGGCCCAGACUCCUACGGGAGGCAGCAGUAGGGAAUCUUGGACAAUGGACGAAAGUCUGACCGAGCAACGCCGCGUGAGUGAAGAAGGUUUUCGGGUCGUAAAACUCUGUUGGUAGAGAAGCGGUAUCUAACCAGAAAGCAACGGCUAACUACGUGCCAGCAGCCGCGGUAAUUC
rnacentral:rRNA from 1 species